rnacentral:rRNA from 1 species
UACGUAGGGGGCAAGCGUUGUCCGGAUUUAUUGGGCGUAAAGAGCGUGUAGGCGGCCAGGUAGGUCAGCUGUGAAAACUCGAGGCUCAACCUCGAGACGUCGGUUGAAACCACCUGGCUAGAGUCCGGAAGAGGAGAGUGGAAUUCCUAGUGUAGAGGUGAAAUUCGUAGAUAUUAGGAAGAACACCAGUGGCGAAGGCGGCUCACUGGUCCGGUACUGACGCUGAGGUGCGAAAGCGUGGGGAGCAAACAGG